rnacentral:misc_RNA from 1 species
GUGAAUCAUCGAAUCUUUGAACGCAUAUUGCACUCUCUGGUAUUCCGGAGAGUAUGCCUAUUUGAGGGUCAUUUGAUAUACUAUAAAUUUCGAGAGUUUAUUGGAAUCAAAUUUGGGUCGGUCUAGCAUUCGUGUGGUGGUCGCCUAAAAUGCAAGAUAAGCUAUUAUCUUGGGUUGCGUGAUACUUUUAGUUACAUCGUGACUUCACAAGGAAUCUUUGAGCGUGUUAGGGUUUGUGC